GUUGAAUUUUGUUAAAUGCUUUUUCUGCAUCUAUUGAGAUGAUCAUAUGGUUUUUAUUCUUCAAUUUGUUAAUGUCGUGUGUCACAGUGAUUGAUUGAAGGGUUUUAACCAUCCUUGUAUCCCCAGGAUAAAUCCACUUGAUCAUGAUGUAUAAUCCUUUUAAUGUAUUGUUGAAUUAAGUUUAUUAAAAUUUUG